ACGGUCCUAAGGUAGCGAAAUUCCUUGUCGGGUAAGUUCCGACCUGCACGAAAGGCGCAACGACUUGGGCGCUGUCUCGACCAUGGACCCGGUGAAAUUGCACUGGUCGUGAAGAUGCGACUUACCCGCGGAAGGACGGAAAGACCCCGUGAACCUUCACUGCAGCUUGGCAUUGGCCGCUGGUCCCGCGUGUAGAGGAUAGGCAGGAGGCUAAGAUCCGGAGGCGCCAGCCCCCGGGGAGCCGCCCUUGGAAUACUGCCCUCGCGCGACCGGCGUCCUAACCCGAGGCCGUCAACCGGCUCGGGGACCGUGCCAGGCGGGCAGUUUGACUGGGGCGGUCGCCUCCUAAAGGGUAACGGAGGCGCGCGAAGGUCCGCUCGGGACGGUCGGCAACCGUCCUUUUGAAUGCAAGAGUACAAGCGGGCUUGACUGCGAGGCCCACAAGCCGAGCAGGUGCGAAAGCAGGCUCUAGUGAUCCGGCGGCCCCGAGUGGGUGGGCCGUCGCUCAACGGAUAAAAGGUACUCCGGGGAUAACAGGCUGAUCUUGCCCAAGAGUCCACAUCGACGGCAAGGUUUGGCACCUCGAUGUCGGCUCAUCGCAUCCUGGGGCUGGAGCAGGUCCCAAGGGUACGGCUGUUCGCCGUUUAAAGCGGUACGCGAGCUGGGUUCAGAACGUCGUGAGACAGUUCGGUCCCUAUCCUCCGUGGGCGCAGGAGAAUCGAUGGAGGCUGCCCCCAGUACGAGAGGACCGGGGUGGACGCACCUCCGGUGAACCGGUUGUCGACCAACGGCACGGCCGGGUAGCCGCGUGCGGCGCGGAUAACCGCUGAAGGCAUCUAAGCGGGAAGCCGUUCCAGGGAUUAGUUCUCCUUCCGGUAAGGGCCCAGGUAGACUACCUGGUCGAUAGACGGCAGGUGCAAGGCUGGCGACAGCCUCAGCCGAGCCGCACUAAUCGCCCGAGCUCUUCCGGAA
rnacentral:rRNA from 1 species